AUGCCUUAAACUGAUGAGUAAGGAAAAUAACGAUGCGGGGUGACGCCCGCGUCCUCGUGCAGUUACGAGAGCAAUUUUUGAACGGGUACAGGUCUGUCCGCGUGGGUGACUCGCCUACUUCGCGAGACGCCUCGCGGAGCUGGGAUCUGCCCC
ensembl:snRNA U12 U12 minor spliceosomal RNA